CGUUAUUGGCAAUUUUGCUGUGCUUUACACCAUGCCACUGAAUUCCCCCAUUGAAACGAGUGGUGUCGUCAAAGCUCUGGUGUGGAGUGCAGCACUCGAUUCCAAUAACUCGCACGUUCAGUUUUGGGGUGAUGUAAGGGCUAAUCUGAACGGCUGCAUUCCUUGUUUAAGGAAAAACGAAUGACUGAUUGCCGAUACCUGAUUAAACGGGUUAUCAAAAUCAUCAUUGCUGUUUUACAGCUGAUCCUUCUGUUCUUAUAACACAAGGAAACGUACUUAAGGUGCGUCCGGUGAACCAGUCGGACGCGCCUUUAAUAAC
rnacentral:misc_RNA from 1 species